GGGGGCUUGGUGAAACUGGCAGACACAAGAGCCUUAAAAGUUCUCGGGCGUAAGCCCAUCUGGGUUCGAACCCCAGAGCCCCCACCA
rnacentral:tRNA from 1 species